rnacentral:lncRNA from 1 species
GAUUUGUAAAUUUCCACUGGUGCAAACUUGGACAAGAUACUCAAUAUCUCUGAGGCUUAUUUUUUAAUUUAUGAUUUAAAAAGCAUAACAAUACAUACCUUAAAAUAUAGUUGUAAAGUAUUAACUGCUCAGCAUACUUUGUGUUAAACAAUUCCAUUAUAACAGAGUCACUCUAGUGGUGCUCAAGCAACCACAAAGGAGAAUAAGAAACAGUCAUACAAGAAAGCAUGUUUUCUAAAUAAUAUCCUUAAAUCCUGAAUAAUUUGUUUGGGCUUUUCUAUAUUAGCCCCUUUAAAACACUUUUAAAUCUAUUACACUUUCAAAUUCAUUCACCAUGAAUUGUGCCCUCUUCAACCAUUAUUGAACUCAUCCAAAAAGGGGUUUGUUGAAGGUGCUUUUCAAAAUUCAAUACUCAUUUCAGGUAAACGUUUAUUUUUUAAAACAAUUUUUAAUUAAGUAAAAUUAAAUACUCCAAAGUUUUUACUAUUUAAUUUCUGUUUAAAUAAAAAUAAGAAAUCAGGUGGUUAUAAAACAAGAGAGAAAUACAUGAAUGGAACUAGUUGAUUUAAUUUAGCGUUGUGCAAAUAAAACAACCAUAUGAAAAAAACAGCAAGGAAAUCAUGGCCUAACACAGUUCCCUAGGGAAAAGAAGCAGAAUAGACAAUGGAAAUGUAUACCAUUCAUUCAUUUUUUCAUUCAUUAAAUCAGUUCUGAAUACUUAGUAAAAGGCCCAGGGCUAGGAUCAAAACCAAAAUAAAUAGCUUUCGUUGUUGAUUUUGAAUUUCCAUCUUGCCAGGUACAGCCUUGACUCAUUGUUGAAAGUAGUUGUAGAGCCAGCAGGUUGGAUGCCAAGGAGAAGAGAAGAGGUGUGCUUUAUGUAUGGGUUCCAUGGAGCUCCACUGGCACAAUCAGUUAGUGCACGGUCCUUACAUGUAUGGAUUCUCUGCAAUUUGCUACAAGAAAAACAAAUAAUUACUGCAUCAAAAUUUCCACAUUGAGUUUACCUGCCUAUGUCCAAGCCAACGGCAAGAGAAAUGCCAUUCAGAAAAAGUUCUCCAUCCAGUAGCAUCAUUGAUCAACUCACCAAAAUAGUAAUAAUACUAAUGAUGACCACGAUGAUGAUUGUGAUGGUGAUGUUAUGAGUCUUUACCUAGUAUUUAAAAGCAAUGCACAUGUAUUUACCUGUGUUAUCUCUUUCUCCCUGGCAAAAACCUCAGGGUAGGAAGACUAUUAUAAUCUCCAUUUUGUAGACAAGGAAACUGAAGAUAGGAUAGGUUAAGGAAUUUGUUCAAGGUCACACCAGUAUAAGUGGAAGGAUAAGACCUAAAAGUAUUUUUUCUAUGGUGUUGCUCCCAUUUUAAAAUUAAAUUGCUUUUGGCUCCAAAAUAAAUAUCCCAAUUUGUAGAUUUUUAAAAUUCUAUAUCCUUAUUUGCUCUACCAAAGGACUCUUUGAUGGUCAUAAUAAUCGCUACAAAUCAGGGUUAAAACUACAUUUCUCCCCCCAGCGUACCCCCUUUUCUGAUCUACUCAGCAAAGCAGCUCAGUUUUCAUCCUAGAAAACUAGCCUUCCCCAACACCUCUCCUGGCAGGGAAGCCCCAUCUGAUAGACCCUAGAGAGAGAGAGAAAUCCAGAGGCAGCAGGUUGGUGCUAUUUGGUAGUAGUAGUGGUG